CUGACUCUAAUAAUAUAACCCGACAAAAAAUAACCUGACAUCUCCAUCUACCGUUGUCUUCUUCUCCCUUUAUGAAAUUAGGGUUCAUAGUGAGAUUUAGGGGAAAAUUGAAAUCGUGACAAUGGAGAAGAAUAAGAGUCAAUCGGAACUUGCGAAAUCUGAAGGUUUAUUCUCAAGGCGAACCAGGAGAAUUAAUUUCGGAGAUUCUAUCGCUCAUGUGAAGUUGUGAUGCUGAGAAAGGGGGAAGAUCAUCUCUUAAAGUGGGUUAAAGAAGCUUUGGUUGAAGAGAUUUCUUUGGUUGAAGCAAGACAGAACAAUUGAAGAAGAUAUUAAAGAUAUGAGGAAGACAGAGAAAAGUGAAGAAGAUGUGGGUUGACAGUACGUACAAUGUUGUCUAAAUUUCAUUACAUGGCUUUGUUGUAAACUUUGGUAGCUGUCAAUGGUUGUGGACAAUUC